GACGAACGCUGGCGGCAUGCCUAACACAUGCAAGUCGAACGAUACCUUCGGGUCUAGUGGCUCACGGGUGCGUAACGCAUGGGAACCUGCCCUUAGGUUCGGAAUAACUCCCCGAAAGGGAUGCUAAUACCGGAUAAUGUCUUCGGACCCAAGAUUUAUCGCCUUUGGAUGGGGCCGCGUUGGAUUAGCUAGUUGGUAGGGUAAAAGCCUACCCAGGCGAGGAUCCAUAGCUGGUCUGAGAGGAUGAUCAGCCAUCCUGGGUCUGAGACACGGCCCGGACUCCUAGGGAAGGCAGCAGUGGGGAAUAUUGGACGAUGGGCGAGAGCCUGAUCCAGCAGUGCCGCGUAAGUGAGGAAGGCGUUAGGGUUGUAAAGCUCUUUUACACGGGAUGCUAGUGACGGUACCGGGAGAAUAAGCUCCGGCUAACUCCGUG
rnacentral:rRNA from 1 species